rnacentral:rRNA from 1 species
UACAGAGGGUGCAAACGUUGUUCGGAAUUACUGGGCGUAAAGCGUGUGUAGGCGGCCAACUAAGUCGGACGUGAAAUCCCUCGGCUUAACCGGGGAACUGCGUCUGAUACUGGAUGGCUUGAGUUCGGGAGAGGGAUGCGGAAUUCCAGGUGUAGCGGUGAAAUGCGUAGAUAUCUGGAGGAACACCGGUGGCGAAGGCGGCAUCCUGGACCGACACUGACGCUGAGGAGCGAAAGCCAGGGGAGCAAACGGG